rnacentral:rRNA from 1 species
GAUGAACGCUGGCGGCGUGCUUAACACAUGCAAGUCGAACGGUGAAGCUCCAGCUUGCUGGAGUGGAUCAGUGGCGAACGGGUGAGUAACACGUGAGCAACCUGCCCCUGACUCUGGGAUAACAGCCGGAAACGGCUGCUAAUACCGGAUAUGCACCAUGAACGCAUGUUCUGUGGUGGGAAAGAUUUUUCGGUUGGGGAUGGGCUCGCGGCCUAUCAGCUUGUUGGUGAGGUAAUGGCGCACCAAGGCGUCGACGGGUAGCCGGCCUGAGGGGGUGACCGGCCACACUGCGACUGAGACACGGCCCAGACUCCUACGGGAGGCAGCAGUGGGGAAUAUUGCACAAUGGGCGAAAGCCUGAUGCAGCAACGCCGCGUGAGGGAUGACGGCCUUCGGGUUGUAAACCUCUUUUAGCAGGGAAGAAGCGAGAGUGACGGUACCUGCAGAAAAAGCGCCGGCUAACUACGUG